rnacentral:rRNA from 1 species
GACGAACGCUGGCGGCGUGCUUAACACAUGCAAGUCGAACGGAAAGGCCUGCUUUCCCUUGUGGAUUGCGGGUACUCGAGUGGCGAACGGGUGAGUAACACGUGCGUGAUCUGCCCCCAACUUGGGUAUAAGCCUGGGAAACUGGGUCUAAUUCCCGACAGGACUGCAGGGUGGUGCCUGUGGUGGCAAACGAUUUUCUAGUGGUUGGGGAUGAGCUCGCGGCCUAUCAGCUUGUUGGUGGGGUAAUGGCCUACCAAGGAGGGGACGGGUAGCCGGUCUGGGAGGGUGGACGGGAGCAGGGGAACGGAGAUACUGCGAAGACGACUAGGGGAGGCAGCAGUGGGGAAUAAGGCAUGAGGGAUGGAGGCCUGAGGGAGGAAGGCUGCGUGAGGGACGACGGGCUUCGGGUUGUGAACUUCGGUCGGUCGAGAGGAAGCCACCUGGUUGGAAGGGUGGUGACGGUAGUGGUAGAAGAAGCACCGGCUAACUACGUG